GUGCACGCCUUUUCUCUUUUUCAUCCACACACACACACACACCUGUGAACUUGUGAGACGGGAAGGGAAAGAAGAGAUUCCUACCUUUCCGUCUACUCAAUCCAUUUACACAAACCCCAAUUGAUAUUUAAACUGAAUGUAAUUGUGAUGUAACACAUCAUUAGAAACUAAGUUUCAACAACGGAUCUCUUGGCUCUCGCAUCGAUGAAGAACGCAGCGAAAUGCGAUAAGUAAUGUGAAUUGCAGAAUUCAGUGAAUCAUCGAAUCUUUGAACGCACCUUGCGCUCCUUGGUAUUCCUUGGAGCAUGCCUGUUUGAGUAUCAUGAAAUUCUCAAAGGCAAUCUUUUUAUUUUAUUUAAAAAGGUUGACUUUGGACUUGGAGGUCUUUUGCAGAUGUUACAAUCUGCUCCUCUUAAAUGCAUUAGCUGGAUCUCAGUAUAUGACUUGGUUCCUACUCGGCGUGAUAAGUAAAAAGCUCGCUGAGGACAUUUUGCUUUUUUUUUAGCAAAGUGGCCAGGUGUAAUGCAGAUGAACCGCUUCUAAUGGUCCAUUAGCUUGGACAAGACUUUGUUUUUACAAGUCUUCUACUUUAUGAUCUGAUCUCAAAUCAGGUAGGACUACCCGCUGAACUUAAGCAUAUCAAUAAGCGGAGGAAAAGAAACUAACAAGGAUUCCCCUAGUAACGGCGAGUGAAGCGGGAAGAGCUCAAAUUUAAAAUCUGGCGGUGUAUUCCGUCCGAGUUGUAGUCUAGAGAAGCAUCAUCCGUGCUGGACCAUGUACAAGUCUCUUGGAACAGAGCGUCAUAGAGGGUGAGAAUCCCGUCCUUGACAUGGACUCCCAGUACUUUGUGUUGUGCUCUCAACGAGUCGAGUUGUUUGGGAAUGCAGCUCAAAAUGGGUGGUAAAUUCCAUCUAAAGCUAAAUAUUGGCGAGAGACCGAUAGCGAACAAGUACCGUGAGGGAAAGAUGAAAAGCACUUUGGAGAGAGAGUUAAACAGUACGUGAAAUUGUUGAAAUGGAAACGCUUGAAGUCAGUCGCGUUCUCUGGGAUUCAGCCUUGCUUUUUGCUUGGUGCAUUUCCUAGUCUACGGGCCAACAUGAAUUUCGACCGGUGGAAAAAGGCAGAGGGAAUGUGGCACCUCCGGGUGUGUUAUAGCCCUUUGUCAGACACGCCGGUUGGGAUUGAGGU
rnacentral:rRNA from 1 species